rnacentral:lncRNA from 1 species
CGCCUCUGUGAUUCCCCGCAUCACUGGCUGGAAGUCCGCCGCGCAUCAGUGAGGAGCUGCUGCAGAAGAAAGAAGAAGCGGCGUGGGGACCUGGGCUGCAAAAUCAAGAUGGGGUAUCUGUUGACUGUUUUUCUUGUAUUUCUUUGCCUUUUGGAGCCACAGUUUUGAACGGUUGUGUAAGACUUUAUCACUCUUUUUGUCAGCGUCGUCAGCUGUGAAUAAAGUUUUUUUUCCAUGUUGUUUUUCCUGU